GUUCGGAUUGAAGGCUGAAAUUCGCCUUCAUGAAGCCGGAAUUGCUAGUAAUGGCAGGUCAGCAUACUGCCGUGAAUACGUUCCCGGGCCUUGUACACACCGCCCGUCACACCAUGAGAGUUGGGGAUACCCGAAGCCUGUGAGCCAACUAUACAGAGGCAGCAGUCGAAGGUAGAAUCAAUGAUUGGGGUGAAGUCGUAACAAGGUAAC
rnacentral:rRNA from 1 species